AUUUUAGGAGUCUUGCCCUCAGUUGCCCACCGCCUUGGGAGUUUGCUGAGUUCUACAAGUUUGAGGAAUUAUGUACCACAGAAAGACGGACGGCCUCCGCCGUGGGAAUUAACGACGAUUCCCGGGACUCUCACACCCCACCCCCAGCCCACAGUGCUGUGGGUCCCAGCUACUGUGGAAGACUGGAGGCUGCGUGGAGCCCAUGGCCCGUGGACCCAGUGCACGCGUGUGUCAUGCAGCUGCGCCAGGACCCAGCCUCCAAGUCUGCGCACCCACGGAGCUGCAGGGGCUGUGGAGAAAGGGUUGAGCGGGUGUCCCAGGCGGCGGCUGGACCCAGGCAGGAGAGGCCCAACCGCCCAAGCAGGAGGUGCCCAAGAGGAGUGCAUUCCUUUAGCAUCGUCACUCCACAACCCCCCCCCCAUUCCUCUCUCCUGGGACCUUUUUGUAUCCAUGCACAGCUGGGGGCUCCCUCACCCCCCACCCCUGGGCCUCCCCAUACAGAAUAAAGUCAGUCUGUAUUUAAUGGUUAUGGCGGAUGUGAGAGGGAUUUGGCAGAGGCAGAAGAGAGGCCUUUGGCUCUCAAAUAUCGCUCCUUACGUCGUGUGAGUCUACCAACCCACCACGACCCCAUAUUCUUGUGUGGGUGUCUGACUCGAAUGACAAGCGAGCUGAUUUUUUCAGUACAUAGCUGGGAAAUGUAGUGAGUGAUAAUAGAGAUUUCUCUUUCAUUUUUUACGCUUGACUUGGUUAUUGUUGCUUUUCUUUUCCCGUGAUUCCUUCUGAGGAUUAGCUCUGACUUCCCCACUAUUGGCGGUCAAAGUGGCCCCGACUUGGGAUGACAAUUGACGGGGAUCAAGGGAUUGCCCAUUCUGUGCCUGUAAGAACGGAUUCGUGCCAGAGAAACUCAUCAAGUGGAGGCAGAGAAUAAAGACCGUUCGGGGGUAAAUGUAUUCAUUGAGAAGGGUUCUCCCAAAUUGCUUCUAAGUUUUUUUAAUGAAAAGUAACGAUUGCAGCAAUCAGCAGCUUUUUGGCGGAUUACAAAUCUGGAGGGAGCUGUGGCGCUGCAUUGAAAAGUUCCCCCCGCCUUCGCACAGGGCAGCCGGUUCACAGGAGCAGUACUAGGGUGGGGGUCCAGUCGCCAGACAAAGGCGGGAACAGGCGAGCGGAGGAGGGUGCCUCUGGGGUGCUCGAGCGAGCACACCCAGUAACUGGACGAAGGGUCUUCCACCUUGGUGGCACUUGUGUGGCGGGGAUCCCCGGAGGAAGAUGAGGGGCAGGGUGCUGGGGAAGUGCCAAGAGAGAUCAAUCCCACCACUGAGUGGGAUUACGCCACUGAGUAAAUUCCAGGCAUCUGGAACCAGGAAGGUGCACUAGAAGAGCAGGUGACCACAGAAGGCAGAGGAACAGAAGGUGCCUCCUCGUCCCCCACCUCCACCUCGGACCUAUGAAUGCUAGUUCUUCUUUUGGGGACAUGUUAUUUUGCAAACUGGAACCAAAGCGUGGCUGGGUCUGGGAGGAUCUUACCUAGGUGUUAUGGGCAGGAGGAGGGAAAGCUGGGUCUCCUCCUUCUCCAAGGAGGGGGCGGAACCCCCGACUGCAGUACCCUGAUCAGCUGGACUCAUACCAGUGCGAAUGAUGCUUCCAUAUACUUUGAUAUGGCUCACACCAGUCCUCUUUGCCACUGAGGAACCGGAAUGCAUGCCCUCACCCUCAUAGAAUCCUGGUGUGCAGUCUCCAGACCUGCAGGCAGGCAGGCCCAAGCGGAGGGGCUCCAAACCCCAGGACUGGGAGAGUUGCC
rnacentral:lncRNA from 1 species